AUAAUUACCUGGCAGUGGAGAUACCAUGAUCGUGUAGGUGGUCUUCCCAGGGUGGGGCUUCUCCAUUGUAGUCCACAUACACUGACCCCUACAAUUUCCCCAAAUGAGGGAAAUUCUACUACAGAAUUUGUGAUAGUAGGGGGACUGUGUUUGUGCUUUCCCUUU
ensembl:snRNA U1 U1 spliceosomal RNA